rnacentral:lncRNA from 1 species
AUGGACCUAAAAGAAGCACAAGAUAUUAAGAAGAAGUGGCAAGAAUACACAGAAGAACUGUAUAAAAAAGAUCUUCAUGACGCAGAUAAUCAUGAUGGUGUGAUCACUCACCUAGAGCCAGACAUCCUGGAAUGUGAAGCCAAGUGGGCGUUAGAAAGCAUCACUACAAACAAAGCUAGUGGAGGUGAUGGAAUUCCAGUUGAGCUAUUUCAAAUCCUGAAAGAUGAUGCUGUGAAAAUGCUGCACUCAAUAUGCCAGCAAAUUUGGAAAACUCAGCAGUGGCCACAGGACUGGAAAAGGUCAGUUUUCAUUCCAAUCCCAAAGAAAGGCAAUGCCAAAGAAUGCUCAAACUACCGCCCAAUUGCAUUCAUCUCACAUGCUAGUAAAGUAAUGCUCAAAAUUCUCCAAGCCAGGCUUCAGCAAUACAUGAACUGUGAACUUCCAGAUGUUCAAGCUGGUUUUAGAAAAGGCAGAGGAACCAGAGAUCAAAUUGCCAACAUCUGCUGGAUCAUGGAAAAAGCAAGAGAGUUCCAGAAAAACAUCUAUUUCCGCUUUAUUGACGAUGCCAAAGCCUUUGACUGUGUGGAUCACAACAAACUGUGGAAAAUUAAGAAAGAGAUGGGAAUACCAGACCACCUGACCUGCCUCUUGAGAAACCUAUAUGCAGAUCAGGAAGCAACAGUUAGAACUGGACAUGGAACACCAGACUGGUUCCAAAUAGGAAAAGGUGUAUGUCAAGGCUGUAUAUUGUCACCCUGCUUAUUUAACUUCUAUGCAGAGUACCUAAUGAGAAACUCUGGACUGGAAGAAGCACAAGCUGGAAUCAAGAUUGCCAGGAGAAAUAUCAAUCACCUCAGAUAUGCAGAUGACACCACCCUUAUGGCAGAAAGUGAAGAAAAACUAAAGAGCCUCUUGAUGAAAGUGAAAGAGGAGAGUGAAAAUGUUGGCUUAAAACUCAACAUUCAGAAAACGAAGAUCAUAGCAUCUGAUCCCGUCACUUCAUGGGAAAUAGAUGGAGAAACAGUGGAAACAGUGACAGACUUUAUUUUGGGGGGCUCCAAAAUCACUGCAGAUGGUGACUGCAGCCAUGAAAUUAAAAGACACUUACUCCUUGGAAGAAAAGUUAUGACCAACCUAAAUAGCAUAUUGAAAAGCAGAGACAUUACUUUGCCAACAAAGGUCCGUCUAGCCAAGUCUAUGGCUUUUCCAGUGGUCAUGUAUGGAUGUGAGAGUUGGACUGUGAAGAAAGCUGAUCACCGAAGAAGUGAUGCUUUUGAACUGUGGUGUUGGAGAAGACUCUUGAGAGUCUCUUGGACUGCAAGGAGAUCCAACCAGUCCAUUCUGAAGGAGAUCAGCCCUGGGAUUUCUUUGGAGGGAAUGAUGCUGAAGCUGAAACUCCAGUACUUUGGCUACCUCAUGCGAAGAAUUGACUCAUUGGAAAAGUCUCUCAUGCUGGGAGGGAUUGGAGGCAGGAGGAGAAGGGGACAACGGAGGAUGAGAUGGCUGGUUGGCAUCACUGACUCAAUGGAUGUGAGUCUGAGUGAACUCCGGGAGUUGGUGAUGGACAGUGAGGCCUGA